AUUUUUAAUACCAAUACCGAUGGAUAACAUCCCUACAUGGCUCGCUGCACGAAAAUUAAUUCUUGUCGGCAGAUCCAAACGCGAAAAAAUUAAUGGAACGAACACGUUUCGACCAUGAAACUUACCGUAUUAUAAAAGCUGUUCUCCCAUCAAACUCCCUCUCCAAUGGCGGCAGCAGCAGCAGCAGCGGCAGAGAUGUUCACGGUGGAAGUCACCUCCCAAGAGACCGUCAAGCCUUCUUCCCCCACUCCUCCCCACCUCCAAACCCACUCCCUCUCCUGGUUCGACCAGCUCGCCCCUCCCUCCCAUGUCCCCCUCCUCCUCUUCUACUCCCCUCCCCCCUCCCCUGUCCUCCAAUCCCUCAAGCGCUCCCUUUCCCAGACCCUCUCCCUCUUCCCCCUCCUCGCCGGCCGCCUCGAGAACGAGGCAUCUCAGAUCCGAUGCGGCGACCAGGGCGUGGAGUUUUUCGAAGCCCGCGUCGACUCCACGCUCUCCCAUCUCCAGCAGCAGCAGCUAAGUCUCCAGUCUCUGGAUGCUCUGCUCCCUUGUGACCGCUCUUGCAGCUGCUGGGGGCAAGCGCUCCUCGCCGUCCAAAUCAACACCCUCUCCUGCGGCAGCGUCGUCAUCGGCAUCUGCGUCGCCCACAAGAUCGCCGACGGCCUCUCGCUCGCCAAUUUCGUCACCGCAUGGGCCGCCGCUGCCGCCGGUGGCGGCGGUGGCGACAUCCCCCGCCCCAACUUGGGUGCCGCCUCACUCUUUCCCCCUUCCGAGAAGGCUAACCUCGCCCUGGCCUCCGUCAAAUGGAGCCUGAAGCCGACCAAGAAGCUCCUCACCAAGCGGUUCCUCUUCGACGAGGCGAAUCUCGCCGCUCUUCGAGGCUCGUCCUCGACGCGGGUCGAAGCGGUGGCGGCGCUCGUCUGGCGGUGCGCCAUGCGGGCCCGACCAGAAGAAGCGGCGGCGAGGGUGUCGUUGGCAUUCGUCGUCGUCGACGUGCGGGGGAGAAUGGAGCCGCCGCUGGAUGGAAGCUCGUUCGGGAAUCUCUGCAUCUACGCGGCCGCGUCGGAGGUGGAGGCAGGGGACGAGGGGGCGAAGCGGCGGACGGAAGUGAAGCUGAGGAAUGGGAUAAAGAAGAUCGAUAAGGAGUACUUGGGGCAGCUUCAGGGCGCGGACGGGCCGCUGCUGGCGUUCGAGAAGGGGAGGGAGGCGGCGAGGGAGCACGGCAAGGGAGAUGACGAUGUGGACGAUAUUGAUAUCUACUACUUCAACAGCUGGGCUCGGUUUCCAGUAUACGAGGCGGAUUUUGGCUGGGGGAAGCCUGUGUGGGCGGGCACCGCGAGGUUCUUCUGGAAGAAUUUAAUUAUGCUGAUGGGGAGGGGUGGGGAUGGAGGGAUGGAGGCUUGGGUGACUCUGGAGGAGGAGGAGAUGGUGAAAUUUGAGAAAGACCAGGAGCUCGUUUCCUAUGCUACUUCCCUCGCUUCCAUUGCAGCCUAGCCUUGGAACUUGCUGCUGACAAGUCUUAAAUAAGGAUGGAGUAUGUGAUGGAUGGGAGCUUCUCAGAGAAAUCUGCUAUAUUUAGCUUUGGUGUUCUAGUACUUGACAUCAUAAACGGGCAAAAGAACAAGGGAAUCUAUCUCUCCUAUCCAUCCCUCUGCCUUCUUGGACAUUAGGGUCGAUAAGAACGAAGGAUGGCCUAGGCUUGGAGUUCGCGCAAGCAAGCUUGGCUAUCUUUAUAGCAGAGCAGAAUUUUAGUUCUUCAAUUGAUUGUGAAAUUAUAGUUAGUGAUUUUCGGAAUAGUAAAGAUUGUGGAAUUGGUAUUUAUGUUUCGAUUUAGACGCUUUGAACCAGUAUUAGUUUCAUUUAAUGGAUAAUAAAAUUGAAUUCCUAUUUA